CUUGAGUUUGAUCAUGGCUCAGAUUGAACGCUGGCGGCAGGCCUAACACAUGCAAGUCGAGCGGUAACAGGAAGGAAGCUUGCUUUCUUUGCUGACGAGCGGCGGACGGGUGAGUAAUGCCUGGGAAAUUGCCCUGAUGUGGGGGAUAACCAUUGGAAACGAUGGCUAAUACCGCAUGAUGCCUUCGGGCCAAAGAGGGGGACCUUCGGGCCUCUCGCGUCAGGAUAUGCCCAGGUGGGAUUAGCUAGUUGGUGAGGUAAUGGCUCACCAAGGCGACGAUCCCUAGCUGGUCUGAGAGGAUGAUCAGCCACACUGGAACUGAGACACGGUCCAGACUCCUACGGGAGGCAGCAGUGGGGAAUAUUGCACAAUGGGCGCAAGCCUGAUGCAGCCAUGCCGCGUGUAUGAAGAAGGCCUUCGGGUUGUAAAGUACUUUCAGUGGUGAGGAAGGGGGUGUGGUUAAUAGCCAUAUUCUUGACGUAGCCCCAGAGAGCCGU
rnacentral:rRNA from 1 species